GGACCCGCACAAGUAGUGGAGCAUGUGGUUUAAUUCGAAGAUACGCGCAGAACCUUACCAACACUUGACAUGUUCGUCGCGACUCUAAGAGAUUAGAGUUUUCGGUUCGGCCGGACGAAACACAGGUGCUGCAUGGCUGUCGUCAGCUCGUGUCGUGAGAUGUUGGGUUAAGUCCCGCAACGAGCGCAACCCUCACUUUUAGUUGCCAUCAUUUAGUUGGGCACUCUGAAAGAACUGCCAGUGAUAAGCUGGAGGAAGGUGGGGAUGACGUCAAGUCCUCAUGGCCCUUACGUGUUGGGCUACACACGUGCUACAAUGGUAGAUACAGAGGGCAGCUACCCCCGCGAGGGGAUGCG
rnacentral:rRNA from 1 species